UUUACAAAAAUGUUCAUCAUUUUAUAGCUAAGAAUGGAAAACUUACAACAAGGAUUCACGUAAGCAAACUUACUAAUUCUUCGGUUACUAAAAAAUCUAACACACACAUGGUUUUUUUUUUUAUUAGUUAUUUUAUGUUUAAAUUUGGAGGAUAUUGCUCAAUAAAUAACGUCAGAUAUGAUUAAACAGAAAUUUAUGGCGUGCUGGCGGUAAUACCCGAUUGAACCGUCACGGUCUUCACUGGUGAUUUAUCUUCACUGAAUGACCAAUUAUUAUAACUGACCGUCGCCGUGAAAUACAUGGUCGUAUAUAAUAUUGUCGUUAACUUGCGGAAAGGCCCUAUGAGAAAUUUUGGUUCAAAUGAGGUGAUGCGCAAUAAAAAAAGUUUGGAAAACCCUGAUGUAUUUCUGUUUAAAAAUAACCGACGGUAAAAAAAACACAUUUUAUAUAUUUUAUAAUAAUCUUAAUAUUUUGACUUAAAUUAUUAAUGUUUUUUUAUUAAUAUUUAAAGAUUCAGUGUCCAAAGAAUGAUGGAGUUGACUAUAGUCUUUAUUAUUACGCAAGCGUAGCCAAUAAUAAUUUAUUUCAGUGAAUGUUAAUUUAGUAUAUUCAAAAUAUAAAUUAUUAAUUAUAAAUAUAUUUCCUAAUAUUAACAUAUUUUUAAUUGAUUUUAGAUCAUUAUCCAUUGUAUAUGUGACGUUUGAUUGUUAUCGUUAUUAUUUUUUUACAGAUAUGAUUGAACAAAUAUUAAGAGUCGUACUAAAAACUUAAGGACAUGUUGAAGCUAAUAGCGAACGAUUGAAUAAAAUUAAAAUUUUUUUUAUAUUAUUCGACAUCUCGCAAUAAAAAAAAAUCAACACAAAAUCUUGUGGAGUAGGAACUAUACAUUUCGAAGAAUAAAAAAUUACAAAGGAAUCUAUAAAUGCUAAGUUAUUGCCACACCCAUAAAAAUAUACUUUUUUGGGUACACCUUUGGCGUAGUGAACGAAGUUAUAUGCUAUCAUGUAUUUGACGGUGACGGUCAGUUAAUUGGUCAUUCAUAGUGAAGAUAAAUCACCAGUGAAGACCGUGACGGUUCAAUCGGGUAUUACCGCCAGAGUGCCAUAGAUUUCUAUUUUAUCGUAUCUGACGUAACCUACAACUAUUGAUUAUGAAAACUAAUAUAUUAAAUACAUAAAAUAAUUACAAUUAUAAAUGAAUGGUACAGCGAA